rnacentral:rRNA from 1 species
UACGAAGGGGGCUAGCGUUGCUCAGAAUGACUGGGCGUAAAGGGCGCGUAGGCGGUUUGGACAGUCAGAUGUGAAAUUCCUGGGCUCAACCUGGGGGCUGCAUUUGAUACGUUCGGACUAGAGUGGGGAAGAGGGUCGUGGAAUUCCCAGUGUAGAGGUGAAAUGCGUAGAUAUCUGGAGGAACACCGGUGGCGAAGGCGGCAUCCUGGACCGACACUGACACUGAGGGGCGAAAGCCAGGGGAGCAAACGGG